rnacentral:lncRNA from 1 species
UGGAACUUAAUUCAUUUGUUAUUGGAAGCAAAAGAGCAGAGUAAUUGAAUUAAAACCUUCGCCUCACUUAAGGCUUGUAAACCGCAGUUUCAUUCAGCUCCUUUUUAUUUACAAUGAAUAUCAACCCAUAAUUGAAGUUCAAGAAGAAGUUAGGGAAAUAUAAAUGAAAAUGCUUUUUAAAUAAAGCAGUGUGGGCCAGGCCAUGCGCCUGUGUCCUGGGUCUCCGUGAGGGCUCCCGGAACGGGCUUUCCUCCUCCUUGGGUCUGGGGGCGCCCUGCACCCCCACUCCUAGGCCUGGUUUCCUUGUGAGGGAGUCCAGGCAGAGGCCAGGCUGCAGCCCACCCUCAGGUGCAGGUACAAGAAACCGCCUGGCCUGGGCCGACAGAGCCCCGAAUGGCAGCAGUGGACGAGGAAGGCGCAGCCCCAGGAGCCCGGGGAAGCGGAGGCAGCCUGGACUCUGGCAGGAGCUGGCCCUGUCCCCUGUCAUCCUGUCUGAGACACUGCAGGAGAUGUCAUUUCUAAAAUCAAGAGGGAACGGAGACAGUGGAACAGAGGGAAUUAUCAACAAAGUCAUAAAUUCUAAACGGAGUCUCUGGGGUCCAAAGGGACCACACAGGUGCACCUGCUCCUUAGGAACCGAAGCGGAAGCAGGGCACAUGGAGACACAUCCCAAAAUGUGGGCUCCGAGGGUCCUGAAACCGUCAGGCAGGCAGACCAGCUGCGGGGAGGGCACCCGAGUUCCCCAAGGCAGCCCUGGAGCCCAAAAGGGUGGGGGGCAACUCUUGAGAUCCUCGGGGAAAACCAUGCAGAGCUCGGGAGCUUUGCUCAGACCAGGUGCGAGCACACAGUCAGCCUGCACAUAGCUCCAUCUGUGCCCGCACUUCUGCCAGCACACAGUCAGCCUGCACAUAGCUCCAUCUGUGCCCGCACUUCUGCCAGCACACAGUCAGCCUGCACAUAGCUCCAUCUGUGCCCGCACUUCUGCCAGCACACAGUCAGCCUGCACAUAGCUCUGUAUUCAUGCCCUUCUGCGCCCGCAUUUCCCUGGGGCACACAGAGCCUGCACAUAGCUCCAUCUGUGCCCGCACUUCCCCCAGCACACUCAGCCUGCACAUAGCUCCGUAUUCAUGCCCUUCUGUGCCCACACUUCCCCAGGGCACACAGUCAGCCUGCACAUAGCUCCAUCUGUGCCCGCACUUCCCCCAGCACAGUCAGCCUGCACAUAGCUCCAUCUGUGCCUGCACUUUCCCCAGGGCACACAGUCAGCCUGCACAUAGUUCUGUAUGCGCCCGCACUUCCCCGGGGCACACAGCCUGCACAAAGCUCCAUCUGUGCCUGUAGGUGCCUGCACUUGUCCUGGGCACACAGUCAGCCUGCCAGUACCCACGGCUCCAGGCAGCUCAGGGACCCAGGUCCUUCUGACCUGCACCGCCCAGGGCCCCUGCCACACAGCAGGUGACCCUGGAUCAGAAUGAGUGGCUCGAGUGCUGUGCCCACUCGGUAGGAUGAACAGGCGUGCAGCUGAGAUGCCUGCGUCCCACGCCCGAGUGCGGGCCCCUGCCACACAGCAGGUGACCCUGGCUCAGCAUGAGUGGCUCGAGCACUGUGCCCACGCGGUCUCCCGGGACGGAAGACGAGCAGGCGUGCAGCUGAGAUGCCUGCGUCCCACGCCCGAGUGCUGGGCUUCGCCCUGACCCCGACUUCGGCUCUUGUGGACUCUGGCAGACGGGGACGAUGGCUUGAGUGGCUGGGUCCCGGAUGGCCACGGGGGAGGGCUGGUUGCGGCUCCGGCUCCUGGCUGCGGCACUGGUGCACUCCUGGCUGUUGUGGGCAGUGAGCUCCAGGGAGUAGGGGCUGUCGCCCUCUCUGUCACCUCUCAGAAUAAAUAUGCAAAUAAAUAAAUAUAAUUUUUAAAA